GUGCGGGACUGGGGCUCCUGGCUGUGGGUGUGGUACCGAGGCUUCAGCGGGUGCCGCCCGCCUAGAGGGAGUGGAGCGGUGAGCACGUCAGGGGUGGGGGGCGCAGGUCAAGCUUUCACCAGUUUUUAAUUCUUUGAUGGGGUAAAUUUGAGCAAUUUUCUCGACUUGUCGACAUUCGUUAUUAACUGAGCAGGAAUCAGGAGAGGAACCCGGUCCUCUCCACACAGCCCAGCAGAGAGCCUACGACUAGAUUUGCAUCUUUACGUCCUGCGCGGAGGCUGCUACACACAUGCAGAAGUCAUGCUGGUGGCCUGGACAGUGAAGGGAGAGAAGUGGAUUUGGGAGACAUUUAGGAGAAGAAUCCCAGACUUCUUAGAGAACCCAGUGACUUUUUGCACCUUAAAUCUGUGAAAUCCUCAUGUUUUCUUCUGCCGUAUCCAUAGUUCAAACAAAGAUGAGGCAAAGCUAGAUGCAUUCCUGAAGGAACCCAAGAAAUUCCUCUCUUUAUUUCUCUGGAAUGAAAUGAAUUCUCUAGACCACCAGUUCUAACCUUCAAAAACCAAACCUGUUUGUGAGAUCUCCUUCAAAUACUACUGUAGACCCCAGUGUUUAUUCAUUAAAUUUUUAAAAUAUUUGUUUUAUUUGGAAUCCAUGUAUUUGUAAUUUUAGUGUUUGUAUUAAUAUAAGGGAGAAAUGUUUAAAUCUGUCUAUGCCAUAUGUGCCUCUGGCUUAUUGCCCAAUUAAUUGUAGACUCAGGCUAAACUUUGGUUUCUGUCUUUAAUUUUUGUCAGAAGAAAUAUAACUGAUCUCAAAACA
ensembl:lncRNA RPL23AP7 ribosomal protein L23a pseudogene 7